rnacentral:lncRNA from 1 species
GACCCCUUGUCCAGCUCUUUGAUUUGUAACCACUCUGAUAGCUUUUUAUCUCUUCUGCUCUCAGGUUGAGCCAGCCCAAGUCGUGAAGGAUGCGCUGUGACUUCCUGCCCUUACCAUGCGUUGGGGAGCAGGGGUGUGGGGAGCGGCACCAUCCCGCCAGGAGAUGCAGCUCUGCAGAACCCUGUUUGGUCCAGGUCUUCUUUUUGUCGUCCUUGGUGAGGUGCUUCAGGGGAGGCAACCUGUAUCUCCUUUCCCAGGGGUAGCUUCGGAUUGGCCUAGCCACCACUUCUUAAACUGGACCAUCAUUCAUUGUAAGAACUCUUACAUCACAGCUCAACACACAUGUAAGUAGAAAUGCAUAUGGAGAUAUUUAUAUCUACAUCUGAACUCAAAUUU